GCUGGGGUAAGCCCAACCUAAUCCAAUUUUAGGCAUGUGCAUUGCAAAAUGCAGUGCCAAAAGACUCGUGAUUGGUGGAAAGAAGAAGAUUAGGCUUAGAAGCAGAAGAGUAUAUGGACUCCUCCAAACGGGCCGUCUGAAUAAUACAUAAAUGCUGCACAGCUGCAUUGAGAUUGCUGGAAAAAAAGAAAGAGGAUGGAUUGUUGCUGAAGGAAGAGGACGGGCAGCACGAAUCGGCAAUGAUACGACAACCUUGAGGGGACGAUCAAUUGGACGAGCUGUUCCAGUCCUGAGGAGCCUGACCAGAGAGCGUCUGCGGGCCCGCCAGAUGAUGAGGACGUCCCAGAUGAUGAGGACCUCUGAGAAGAACGCCAUCCAGCCCAUCCUGCUGGGGAAUAAACUCACGGCAACGAAGGUAGUCGCCCCGCUGGGGUGCUGGAUCUCAAAUGACCUGCCUGGACUUCUAUUUAAACCUGCUGUGGGUCCGCCGUGGGCCUGUAUACCACUGUAGUACUGCAGGGGACGGCCCUAUGUCCGUUCCUCUUCCCCCUGUAAACCUUGGCCUCUGUCCACCAUACACUAUCCGCUUGGACAACAAGCUUGACUGGACAGUGUUCUCCAUGUCAGUCUACAUGUAGGGGCAGACUCUACCUCCUGAGGAAGUGAGCUGCCGACAUUAGAAGACCGAUGGGAGCAUGGUGCGGAUGCUCUGUGAGUCUCUUCUAGGCUUGGGUGAAUCUGGAACAGCAGCAUGACUAAACAGCUUGUUAAGUCCAACACUCUCCUGACAAUGAUCAGGAUGGCCGGCGUGUUCUGGGGUAGAACUGGACCCCCUGUAGCCGUCAGAGAAAAGAGACUGUGCAAAACACCUCUCUACCCUUGAUAAUGACUCCGGACUGCAGUCUGAACAGAGAAGUCUGUUCAGCAGUUGACGCCUGGCAUUGAGGAGGUCCACCGGGUGGUUCGGGAAAACCUUAAUUCCUGUGGACAGAGAAGUCUUUAACUCCUCUCACCACCGCCAGGUCACUCUAUACUGCACUGUCGUGGAAUUCAGUCAAUUUGAACAUUUUAGGAUUUAUCGUAUCAAGAUGAUCUGUGCUACAUACCUGUGACAAUUUAUUUAAUUUCAGUUACAUAGCUACUUCAUUUUAUGUACAAACAUUCAGCUGUUAUAAAUGUCAUCAUAUUUGAUCCAUAAUUAGAAUAUGUAUAUUUAUGGAGUGUUUUGUGUUUGUAUUUAUUUUUGAUGUUUGUUCUAUUUGCAUUGAAGUUUCUGGCUUGUGAUUAGAGACUGUAACAAAAUAAAUUCUUCCGGGAUCAAUAAAGUAAUCUGUGCCUAUAUCUGUUAACAA
ensembl:lncRNA